rnacentral:SRP_RNA from 1 species
UCCAGGCAUGGUGGCGUAUGCCUGUAAUCCCAGCUACUUGGGAGGCUGAGACAGGAGAAUUGCUUGAACCCAGGAGGCAGAGGUUGCAGUGAGCCAAGGUCACACCGCUGCACUUCAGCCUGGGUGACAGAGUAAGACUCUGUCUCAA